UACGUAGGGUGCAAGCGUUGUCCGGAAUUAUUGGGCGUAAAGAGCUCGUAGGCGGUUUGUCGCGUCUGCUGUGAAAACUCGGGGCUUAACCCCGGGCCUGCAGUGGGUACGGGCAGACUAGAGUGCGGUAGGGGAGACUGGAAUUCCUGGUGUAGCGGUGAAAUGCGCAGAUAUCAGGAGGAACACUGGUGGCGAAGGCGGGUCUCUGGGCCGAUACUGACGCUGAGGAGCGAAAGCGUGGGGAGCGAACAGG
rnacentral:rRNA from 1 species